GACCUGCACCUGGCUCCAUGGCGGAACCGGCCGGCACGGAUUAUUCCCCUCUCGGGAGAGGUCUGCAGCCGGGCCUCAGUGCUUCAGUUCGUGGCCUGGCAUUUUGUGAAGAGUGUCUUCAUCUCUGCAUCCCUAGUGCAACAGAGCAUGACAAAAAUUCAACAAAUAUUUAUUGAAGAGUCUUGAUGUCUUUUGGGAAAGGAACUCUAUGGUUACCUUUACUCUAAGAGAUGGGGAUCUCACUCUGUUGCCCAGGCUGGUCUCAAACUCCUGGCUUCAAGCAAUCCUCCUGCUUCGGCCUCCCAAACUUCUGGGAUUACAGAUAUGAGCCACCACGGCUGGCUGACAGGCACCAAAUUCUAGGAGAGGACUUGAAUAGACUCCCAAGGAGGCAGCAGAAACUGGGGUAAUCACAACGGUCAACAGCAGCAAAGGCAGCACUUUCUGA
rnacentral:lncRNA from 1 species